rnacentral:rRNA from 1 species
UACAGAGGGGGCAAGCGUUGUUCGGAAUUACUGGGCGUAAAGCGCGUGUAGGCGGCUAUGUAAGUCGGGCGUGAAAUCCCACGGCUCAACCGUGGAAGUGCACCCGAAACUGCGUAGCUAGAGUCCUGGAGAGGAAGGUGGAAUGCUUGGUGUAGAGGUGAAAUUCGUAGAUAUCAAGCGGAACACCGGUGGCGAAGGCGGCCUUCUGGACAGUGACUGACGCUGAGACGCGAAAGCGUGGGGAGCAAACAGG